rnacentral:rRNA from 1 species
GAUGAACGCUAGCGGCAGGCCUAAUACAUGCAAGUCGAGGGGUAGAGAAGAGCUUGCUUUUCUUGAGACCGGCGCACGGGUGCGUAACGCGUAUGCAACCUACCUUUAUCAGGGGGAUAGCCUCUCGAAAGAGAGAUUAACACCGCAUAAAAACACAGUACGGCAUCGUACAAUGUUCAAAUAUUUAUAGGAUAAAGAUGGGCAUGCGUGACAUUAGCUAGUUGGUGAGGUAAGGGCUCACCAAGGCGGCGAUGUCUAGGGGAUCUGAGAGGAUGACCCCCCACACUGGUACUGAGACACGGACCAGACUCCUACGGGAGGCAGCAGUAAGGAAUAUUGGUCAAUGGGGGCAACCCUGAACCAGCCAUGCCGCGUGCAGGAAGACGGCCCUACGGGUUGUAAACUGCUUUUACACGGGAAUAAACCCCUUUACGUGUAAAGGGUUGAAUGUACUGUAAGAAUAAGGAUCGGCUAACUCCGUGCCAGCAGCAGCCGCCG